CGCGUAGGCGGCGCGAUAAGUUGGGCGUGAAAGGCCCGGGCUCAACCCGGGGACUGCGCUUGAUACUGUCGUGCUGUGAGUCCGGGAGAGGAUGGCGGAAUUCCCAGUGUAGAGGUGAAAUUCGUAGAUAUUGGGAAGAACACCGGUGGCGAAGGCGGCCAUCUGGACCGGCACUGACGCUGAGGCGCGAAAGCGUGGGGAGCAAACA
rnacentral:rRNA from 1 species